GAUGAACGCUAGCUACAGGCUUAACACAUGCAAGUCGAGGGGUAACGAGAGGGAAGCUUGCUUUCCUUGUCGACGACCGGCGCACGGGUGAGUAACGCGUAUCCAACCUGCCCCCAACUAGGGAAUAACCUUGCGCUAGUAAGACUAAUACCCUAUAAUUUCCUCAGAUGUCAUCUGACGAGGAAUAAAGAUUUAUCGGUUGUGGAUGGGGAUGCGUCUGAUUAGCUUGUUGGCGGGGUAACGGACCACCAAGGCAACGAUCAGUAGGGGUUCUGAGAGGAAGGUCCCCCACAUUGGAACUGAGACACGGUCCAAACUCCUACGGGAGGCAGCAGUGAGGAAUAUUGGUCAAUGGGCGGAAGCCUGAACCAGCCAAGUAGCGUGCAGGAUGACGGCCCUGUGGGUUGUAAACUGCUUUUAUACAGGAAUAAAGUUAGCCACGUGUGGUUAUUUGUAGGUACUGUAUGAAUAAGGACCGGCUAAUUCCGUGCCAGCAGCCGCGGUAA
rnacentral:rRNA from 1 species